rnacentral:rRNA from 1 species
UACGUAGGGUGCGAGCGUUAAUCGGAAUUACUGGGCGUAAAGCGUGCGCAGGCGGCGCGUUAAGACAGGUGUGAAAGCCCCGGGCUCAACCUGGGAAUUGCGAUGAAGACUGCAAGGCUUGAAUCUGGCAGAGGGGGUAGAAUUCCGACGUGUAGCAGUGAAUGCGUAGAGAUGUGGAGGAACACCGGAUGGCGGAAGGCAGCCCCUGGGUCAAGAUUGACGCUCGAUGCACGAAAGCGUGGGGAGCAAACAGG